CCUACGGGUGGCAGCAGUAGGGAAUCUUCCACAAUGGGCGAAAGCCUGAUGGAGCAACGCCGCGUGGGUGAAGAAGGUCUUCUGAUCGUAAAACCCUGUUGUUAGAGAAGAAAGUGCGUGAGAGUAACUGUUCACGUUUCGACGGUAUCUAACCAGAAAGGCACGGCUCACUACGUGCCAGCAGCCGCGGUAAUACGGAGGGGGCAAGCGUUAUCCGGAUUUAUUUGGCGUAAAGGGAACGCAGGCGGUCUUUUAAGUCUGAUGUGAAAGGCUUCGGCUUAACCGGAGUAGUGCAUUGGAUACUGGGAGACUUGAGUGCAGAAGAGGAGAGUGGAACUCGAGGUGUAGCGGUGAAAUGCGUAGAUAUAUGGAAGAACACCGGUGGCGAAAGCAGCUCUCUGGUCUGUAACUGACGCUGAUGUUCGAAAGCGUGGGUAGCAAACAGGAUUAGAUACCCCAGUAGUC
rnacentral:rRNA from 1 species